rnacentral:rRNA from 1 species
UACGUAGGGGGCAAGCGUUAUCCGGAACUAUUGGGCGUAAAGGGUGCGUAGGCGGCAAAGUAAGUCUGAGGUGAAAGUUCGGGGCUCAACCCCGUGAUGCCUUGGAAACUGCUUAGCUAGAGUGUGGUAGAGGCAAGUGGAACUCCAUGUGUGGCGGUAAAAUGUGUAAAUAUAUGGAAGAACACCAGUGGCGAAGGCGGCUUGCUGGGCCAAGACUGACGCUGAGGCACGAAAGCGUGGGGAGCAAACA